ensembl:lncRNA
AAAAAUGAUAUGAUGUUAAGGAUUUUAAUAAUUUUAUAUAGCAGUAUAAUAACAAAUAAAGAUAUAAAAAAAGAGAAGUAUGAAGAAUUUGAAAAUUUUAUAAAAAUGCUUUUGAAUAAUAUGAAUGGUAUACAUAUAGAUAUCGAAUUAGUGCGCUAUAUGAUAAAUUUGAUUACAAAUAUAUUCUUAAAUUAUCCAUAUUAUAUCUACAAUUUAAUAACAUUGUUAGUUAAUUAUAUAACAAUUAUUAAUGCAAAUUUUAUGACAUCCUUAACUCAAAAUACAUUUGAUGACAUAGAAAAACAAAUAAGUGUAUUAAUAAUAAGCAGCAUGUCCUUAAAGCAAAUAGUUUUUUAUUCUUUUGUUUAUUACAAAAUCCACAAUUUAAAUAAUCUUUUAUUUUAUAUAUUUGACAUCUGUAAAUUGUUUUUAUCAAAAGUACAAAUACAUCCAUUAAAAAGUAUUAACGAGUUAAGAAGAAUAAUUUCCUAUUCGUUGAUUCACUCGAUUAUGUCUUUGUGUGUACUGGAAAUUAUGACAAAUGAGUGUUAUUAUGUCAUCAAGCCGGUCUGUAAGUCAAACACCAAAAUGGACACCAAAAUGGACACCAAAAUGGACACCAAAAUGGACACCAAACUAGACACCAAACUAUACACCAAACUAGACACCAAACAAAUAAAGAAAAGCAAUUAUAACAAUAAAAAAACAAAAAAAACGCGAAAACGCUACGCAACAAAUAAGACCAUUUCAUCCAACCUACUACCAACCUCAUACCAUUUCCGUCAAAUGAGCAACCUAGAAACAUAUUUUAAUAAAUAUGAAUUUAUUUAUGAUAAUAUAAUUUUUAAAAUUUUAUUAGACAUACUUAAUGAAAUGUUAAACGAAGUUAAUAAAGAAAAUAUCGAUUUGUUUAUUAGUUCAUAUGAAGAACAGAAUAUAAAACACAAAAUGAAUAGUAAUAAUUUUUUUAUUGUAGAAAAUUUAUUUAUUUUGUUUUAUGUUUUAAAAAAUAUUAAUGUUUUAUUAUCAUCUGACAUGUUAACUUUUUUAUUUUUUGACAUAAUAUAUAAAAUUGUUAAUACAUUAUUUAUUUUUUUAUAUAAAAUAAACAAAAUAAAAGUUGAACAUAAUGACAGCGCAAAUUUGGAAAUACCAUUGGAUAAUACACAAAAUAAUUUGCCUUUAAAAAUAGAUUCAGGUAAAAGUUCUAGUAACAGUUGUAGUAAUAAUAGUAGUAACAUUAGUGGUGGGUUAAAAAAAAAAAAAGAUUCUUUUUACUUUUUUGAAUAUGGUUUUACUCAAAUAUGUAGAUCCGUAAGUAUAGAUGAUAUUUUAUUAGUUUUCUUUUUAUAUAUAAUUCAAGCUUUAUAUAAAAUUAUAAAAUUUGUAAGACUGAAGGUUCGAAGGACAAUAAGAGGAAUAAAUUUAAUGAGUGGCAAUUUGAUGGUUACACACGAAAUGACUAAAGAUGUUGGAAAAAACGAUUGUAAUGACGCAAAGAAGAAUAUUACAGCUGAUGGUAUGAACAAAUAUAUUGUGCCAGAUAACAAAAACAACAAAAGUGUGGUAAACAAGCAUGACAGUGUUUUCUUUUUGUUAUAUGAUGAUAAUAAUGAGUACAAAUCUUUAUUAGAUAAAAACGACGAUAAAUUUCAUUCUAUUUAUGAUGCAUUGUUGACAGCAAAAAAAUCGGAGGGGUGGUAUUUUGAUUUUUUUCUUAAAAUUAUAAUAAAUUUUGUAAAAAAUAUAGCUAAUAAAGAUUUUAACAAUUUGAUUAUCAAUGCAUUGAAACAAAAAAAAAAGGAGAAUAAAAAUGGAAAUGCACAAAGAAAAGCUACACAUGACAACAAAAUCGAACAAAAAAUACAAUACAUAUUCCAAAACAUAAACGAAUUAGAAGUACUAAAUUUACCAACUAACAACUAUGACACAUAUUACGAGUUGAUAAUAAUAAAUAGCGUAAUGUUAUUUGAUACAUUUUUAGAAAGAAAAAGAUAUUUUAAUAUAAUUAUGAAUAACAUAUAUAGAUGUAUUUCAAAUAUACAUUUAAACCAGAACGAAUUAUUAAUAUAUUUAUUAACACUAUCAAAAUUUUUAAAAAGGAAAUUUUAUAAUAAAAAAAAAAAAAAGCUAUUUAACCAUAUGUUACCACUGUUUAAUUUACUAAAUAUAUACAUUGGUCAUAGUAGUACUACUGGAGUGCUCAAUAUAUUGAUAAUAAAAAUUAUGACUUUUUUUAUUAGUGAUAAUAAUUAUGUUAUAAAUAAAUACUUAUUCGAUUAUGUGUUAAAAAUAUAUAGAAAUUAUAUACCUCAUAUGAAUCAAAAUAAUGAUUUAAAUGUCAUUGUUGCUUAUUUUAUAAAAAGAUUUAUAUUAUGUUAUGUUAAAAAAAAAAUAAAUAAAAAAAAAGGGGAUAAUAAAAAAAGUGCAAAAAUAGUAAGUUCUUGUGGAAGUGCAAAAAUACCGAAUUCUUCUUUUGGUAGUCAUAAUAUGUUGAAAGGCGACGGUCGCCACGUCGGUUUAUCUAAAAACAAUUGUUUACAAAAAGAGAACUGUGGCAACAUUCGUGAUAGUACACACAGUGACAAAGACAAAAAUACUGCCGAAGAGACAAAUAAGUUAGCUAGUUCUAGCUCUUUUAAAGAAACCAGUAUAAAUAAAAAAUAUCCUAAAACUAUGAGGUUGAAUACGGAUUAUACGUGUUUAACAGAUGAUACACUUUUCCAUAUGAUGAGUAAUAAAAAUGGCGUAUGCAUAAAAAAAGAAGAAACAGAAGAUAAAAAGUUGAUUAAAACCGAGUCAAGCUAUUUAUAUGAUACAAAACAUGUGACAUAUAUAAACGAUAUGAUUAAUAAAAAAAAUGUUAAGAAAUUAAAAAAGGAAGAGAAAAAAAAAAUAAAAAUUUUAUUUGGUCACUUGUUAAAUAUAUUGAAACUAAUUUCUCAUAAAAACGACUGUUUUAUAACUGUUUUACAAAUAUUGAAUUCUGUAAUAAAUAAAACAUACAUAUAUAUUAAUUAUACAAAAAUAAAAAGUUUUUUAGAAGUGAUAUUGGCAUAUAUAUUAAGAAGUGAAAAUAGCAAUGUGUAUAAUGAUGUUAGAGGUGAAAAGGGUAAGUAUAUGAUACGCUUAUUUAUAAAUAUAUUGCUUACAAUAAGGAACAAGCAGCAGGUGGCAGGUGUGGGCAUGUCAGAUAUGGGGGAUUCCAUUGUAAGCGAAAAGAAAAAAAAACGCCAUAAACAAACGAAAAAACUAUAUAAAGAAAUAGUUAAUAAGAUAUUUUUUAUAUUCGAAAUAAUAUUAAAUUUGUAUGAGAAAAAAGCAAACCAUUUAUUUUUUAAAAUCAUUAUUAUUUUAUUUGAUAUAUUUAAACUAGCUAAAUUGAAAAAAUAUUUGUAUAGAAUAUCGAUACUUGUCCAGAGGAACAUAUUUUUUUGUAAUAAUAAAAAAAACAUAAAGCACGCGCUAAUUUGUGUAUACAGUCUAUUGAAAAAGGAGAUAAACUUACCACUACAUGAGAAUUUUGAUUACUAUCUUUUAGUAUUACAUAAUUUUUAUAGUAAUGAUGUGAGCGGUAGUGGAUGCGGUAGUGAAAGCAGUAAUGGUAGGUGCAGUAGUGAAAGCAGUAAUGGUAGGUGCAGUAGUGAAAGCAGUAAUGGUAAAUGCGGUAGUAGAUGCAGUAGUAGCGGCAGCAACAGAAGCAAUAGUAAUAACAACUUAGAUUAUUAUUUUAUGAAUGUAUUAAAAUUAAGAAUACGCCUUUAUGCGUUUUUUAACGUCCACGAGUGGAUAAACUUAUUUGAUUAUGUUUUAAAUGCUAAAAAUGUAUAUUCUUAUAAUGUUAAUAAAUUUAGGAACACAAUUUUAAAAAGUAAUAGUUCGAAUUGGGAAAAUAAUGACGAACAAAAAAAAAAAAAAAAAAGUGUUAAUAGCAUUGGUAGUAGUGAUAUUAGUAGCGGUAGUGGUGACAUUAGUAACAUAAAUAGCAAACCGUAUGAUACGAGUAAUAAAAAAAAAAAUGGUUUAUUAACUGAUGAGUUAACAAGUGAUAAGAGUAACAAUGAUUGUGUAUUUUUUUAUACGUCUUUAUUUGAUAAAAAUUUAUGUUUUAACACUCAUAUUAAUUUGAGGAAAGAAACAAGAGGAUGUACAGCGCAGAGUACUUAUGCUAAGACUACUACAUUUAGAACUAUGAUGACAAAUAAAAAAGCAUUAUAUUUUUUUAAUGUAUUGAAGGUAAAACCAAACGAAUAUAUUUUUUCAUACAAUACAAAAUGUUACAUUAUGAAACUAUUAUUCUUUUUUUUAAAAACUAUAGAUGCUUCUCCUUAUGUUUAUAUUCAUAAUGACUCUACUUAUGGCACUUAUAUGAAAAAUCGACUGAAAGAAAUCGUGUUACAAAGUGAAGAAGGGGGUAAAGAUGUUUUCAUUUUUGAACAAAAGAGUCUGACCCGUAAUAAAGGAAAUGGUGAUAAUAGUCAGUCUAAUCAAAAUAGAAGUUACAAAGGUAUGGAUAAGGGUGCGAAUAAGGGCAAAAGUAAAAGCACGAAUAAUGGUGCGAAUAAGGGAAAAAAUAAAAGCACGAACAAUGGUGAGAAUAAGGGCAAAAAUAAAAGCACGAAUAAUGGUGUGAAUAAGGGCAAAAGUAAAAGCACGAACAAUGGUGAGAAUAAGGGCAAAAAUAAAAACAAGAAUAAAAACAACAUAACUAUUUCUUCCAACAAUAGUAAUAGUAAUACAGGCAGUCGCAAAGCGUUAAACAGGGGAGGAAAAGGGGGGAAGGUUAAUACAUAUGGCUGGAUAAACGGUCAUAAUAAUAAAAUGGGUAGUGCUAAUGGUAGUACUAAUAUUAGUAAUAAAAUUAGCAACAAUGGGAUAAGUAGAACAUGUAGUAAUGCUAAUGAAAGCACUAGUACGAAAAUAUAUAAGAUCGAAAAUAUAUUAAAUAAUAUGCAAAAACAGAGGCUUAAACAUGGGGGUAAACAUGGGGGUAAACAUGGGCCUAACCAAGAGCUUACGCUGGGGCAAAUUUCAAAAAAAAAAGACAUACCAAGUUUAGUAAAAUUUGAAAAAACAAGGGUCGAAAAGAUUAUUACAAAUUUAACAUUAUAUGACAACUUCGAACGUUUAUUAAAAUUGAUUUUAGAUAAUAUAAAUUGUGGUAUACAUAAUUAUAAGAUAUCUGGGUAUGCUUUAAAGAUACUAAUGUUAUAUAUCAACCUUUUUAAAUUUACUAGUAUAUUAAUUGAUAAUUUUUCAAAUAAUAGUAAAAUGAUGUUACUAUGGAAUUAUGAAAUAAAUAUUUUUACAUCUUUAAAAUUAUAUUUUGAGUCAUUUAAUUUUUUUUACUUAUUUAAUUAUAAAAAUAAGGGUGAAAUAAACAAUGAUUGUUAUAGUAGUUCAAAAGAUAAUAAAAGCGGUGAUAUAAACGAUGUUUCUAUGGGUUCUACCGGUGGUGGUGGUGGUGGUUCUGCUGCUGCUACCACUACUUCUACCACGAACAACACACAUCAAUUUUCUCAUCAUUUCUUAUACCCUUUAAUAAAGAUAUACAACAUAGCUUUAUUUUUAAAUAAAUAUCAGUUAUGUAAAUCGCACAUGUAUUAUAUUGAGUACUUAUUUAAUAGCUUAUUGAAAAAAAGCGAUUUAUCAUCACAUAGUAAUAAUAUCAGAACUGGUAGCACAGAAAAGGGCUAUAUCAUCAAUGCGAACAGUAACAACUAUACGUCACACUCUAAUGACAUAAAACAAAAAGAUGGUAUAACAUUAAACAAUUACAACAUUAACACAAAAUUAACAAAUACGUAUAGUAUAAAGUUGAAUGAAACGAAAAUGUUAUAUAACACAUCAUUAUUUUUUUCUGAAUUCGACACUUGUGUUUAUUUCCUUUUUUAUUAUAAAUCUUUUUGUUCUUACAUAAUAAUCAAUGAAAAUAACUUAAACGUUUUAGCACUUUUUAAUAUUCAAUUGAUUGUUGAAAAUGCUUGUUAUAUAAUAUUUGAUGCGAUAAUUUUAUAUUUAUGUGCGUUUGGUUCCGUCGGCAGUAGUGACAAAAGGAGUGGCAAAAGGAGUGACAAAAGGAGUGACAAAAGGAAUGACAAAAGGAGUGACAAAAGGAAUGACAAAAGGAAUGACAAAAGGAGUGACACAAGGAGUGGUAACACCAACAAUAUUAAAAAAACAGGAAACUACUUUGCAGAUAUCCGCUACAAGUUUUUUACAUGUGUACAUGAUAAAGCCAGAUCAUUAUCCAUUUAUUAUUUUUUGCUUUUUCCAAUUAUUAUUCAAUUUUUCAACAUAAUAAAAAACUACAUAAAAUGGGAUAAAAAGAAUGUUUUAUUUUUUAAAACUUUUAUUAUUUUUUUAUGUUAUAUGAUGAAAGAGCACAGGGAAUUGUUAAAAGAAAAAACGAAAGAUGUAUAUUUUACCUUUAUAUUUAAUUAUUUAAUUAUAAUUGAAUUUUGUAUAAAUAAAGAUAUAGAAAAAGCAGGUUAUGAUGUUGAUUAUACAAAUGAUUCGUUAGGAAAAACAGAUAAAAUUAGAUUAGAACAAAAUGGAGAUGAGAUGAUACAAAGCGAAAGUUACAAUGUGCAUACUAAAGAAGAUGGUAAUAUACAAACAAAACAUAAACAUCCGUUAGAUACUAAUAUUAUACAUGGUGAUGAUGAUAUAAAAAAAAGUAGCGAAAAAAGUGGCGAAAAAAGUGGCGAAAAAAGUAGCGAAAAAAGUAGCGAAAAAAGUAGCGAAAAAAGUAGCGAAAAAAGUAGCGAAAAAAGUAGCGAAAAAAGUAGCGAAAAAAGUAGAGAAAAAAGUAGCGAAAAAAGUAGCGAAAAAAGUGGCGAAAAAAGUAGCGAAAAAAGUAGCGAAAAGAAAAAAGAGAGCAUUUUUUUUAAGGUCCAACUAAAUUAUUUAAUAAAAUAUAUAAUAACAGCACAUAUAAAUGAAAAAAACUUACAUAGUGUUUUAGAAUUUAUAUCAGUCGUACAUAAUACGAUAUUAGAUUGUGAGAAUGUAAACAUAGAAACGAAUACGUUGUGUGUAAUAUAUUCAUUAAAUGUGUUUUUAAUAAACAAGUUUUUGAUUUAUGAAAAAGGUAAUUCAAGGAAGGGGGGGAAAAAGAAAGGAACGAAAGGGAAGAGGAAAUGUAAGAAAAAUGAAAUGCUGAACGAAACUAUUUAUUACGACAAGCUUUGGAAAUCUUUAUUAAACUGCUACAACAUUUUAGAAAAAAUAAACGAUAGCGAAUUAAAAGAAAAAAUAAAAGUAUUAUUACAAAAAACUUUUUUGAAAAAAAUGGAUUUAUUAACAAAUGAAAAAUUAUCAAGUAGACUUUUAAAAUAUUUUUUUCAGUAUGCUUCUAUAAAUGAUAUCCAUAAUUAUUUGGCUCAAAUAAAAAAAACAUAUAAACAAGAAAUGUACACCAUAAUAACUCAAAUGGAUGUAUUAAAAAUUAAUUUAUUCUACAUAAAAAUAAUUGUUUUUAUCCAUUUUAUUGACUCGGUUGAGAUAUUAGAUAUAAAGGUUAAUUUUAUUUUUUUUCUUUUGUUCUUACAAUUGCUUAUUGAAUUUUUGAGCAGCAUGAAAGUGAUAUAUAUGUACGGCGGAGAUAACAAUGGAAGUAGAAAGUGUGUCGGAAUGAUGAAAGGAGUCACACUUAAACAGAACAUCGGUUAUGGUAGCGAUUGUAGUGGCUGUAAUACUAAACAAAAUGUACGCCAUAACUUGGUCAACACUACCAAUUGUAUUAUUAAAAAACAAAUUAUCAUUUCAUCACUUAAUAUUAUACAAAACAUAUUUACUUUAAUCAAAAACAAAAAAGAAACACUUGUUUUUUACUUUUUAUAUAAUUUACUUAGAAACAAUGUAUUACCUAUAAUUAUAACAACUAAUAAUAUGGCAGAUACGUUGGAAUAUGAACAGUUAAUACCUUGUGAUUCAUUUUUAGAAGAAAUUCAUUGUUAUUCAAUAAAGUUAUUAAAUAUAUUUUUUAAUGUAUUUUUUAAUAAUACUAAUUUAAUGAAAGAAGUAUUGAUUCCUUUUAUUAAGUUCCUUUAUAAAAUUAUACAGGUAUGUGAAAAAGCAGGUAUAACAAUAACAAAAUGUGUUUUAUUAUAUGAAUUAGACCCAUCUAAGCAUAUUGAUUUAUUGAAUUACCAAAAUGAAAGUAUGUAUUUGUAUAAUAACUUUAGAAAGUCAAACAUAGUUUAUAUCAAUGAUAAAGCGAGUAAUAAUAUGACGGCACAUUUUAAAGAAACGAAUAAAAUAUUAAAAAACAUCGCUUUUAAAAACCCUUCAUUUUUUAAAGAUAUACUAGCACAAAUAAACGCACAAGAAAAGGUGCUUGUUUAUAACUUGAUGAAAGAGUCAAUUGAUUAUACAAAAAAAAAAAUGCAAUUACAAAGUAAAUGUAGUGAAAAAUUGGAUUUUAGUUUUAUAAAUUAGGCCUAUACGCACGGCAAAGAAAAAAAAUAAAAUAAAAUAUAUAAAUAUAAAUAUAAAUAUA